rnacentral:rRNA from 1 species
GAUGAACGCUAGCGGCAGGCUUAACACAUGCAAGUCGAGGGGUAGAGGAAGCUUGCUUCCUUGAGACCGGCGCACGGGUGCGUAACGCGUAUGCAACCUACCUUUUACAGAGGGAUAGCCCAGAGAAAUUUGGAUUAAUACCUCAUAGUAUAUGUUUUUCGCAUGUUAGACAUAUUAAAGUUCCAACGGUAAAAGAUGGGCAUGCGUCCUAUUAGCUAGAUGGUAAGGUAACGGCUUACCAUGGCAACGAUAGGUAGGGGUCCUGAGAGGGAGAUCCCCCACACUGGUACUGAGACACGGACCAGACUCCUACGGGAGGCAGCAGUGAGGAAUAUUGGACAAUGGGCGCAAGCCUGAUCCAGCCAUGCCGCGUGCAGGAAGAAGCAUCUAUGGUGUGUAAACUGCUUUUGUACGGGAAGAAACACUCCCUCGUGAGGGAGCUUGACGGUACCGUAAGAAUAAGGAUCGGCUAACUCCGUGCCAGCCGCCGCAGUAACAC